UUGUCGUCAAUCGCAGCUGAACAAUCGACUUAUAACUCUUUUCCGCAGCGCGUAUAAACACCGUUGCAUACGUGGUAUCUAAAGCCGUUUGUGUGAGGUCACCGGUUUUGGGGUGGUCGUGUCUAGCUUGCUGCGUUACGGUUCCGGUAUUGUUAUCCUAGUGAUUCACUUGGACGUGGCUACAACGCGGAAGAGUUCCCGUACACGCCAAUACAGUCAAGAUAAUCUCGCAGGCAAAGAAUUAAAGCACAAGAGGUAGAAUCAUGUUUUGCGCUUACCUCGCCGCCACGUUUCUUUGGACAUGGUUCUGCUCACAUCACUGCAAGCUGCCGCCGCCAAACAAAGGCAUCGUCGAGGACGGAAAGACGUUCAAUUCAUCUGAUCCCUGCGUUCAAUACGUGUGCCUCAAGGGAGUCCUGACGACAAAUAUGUGCAUCGGAGCGAAAGUCGGAAAGUGCGCAAUACCGAAAUCAAUCAAGAAGCUUCCUUAUCCAGCUUGCUGCGGUCAAAUGAUUUGUACGGGACACUAAAUAAAAUGCCACAGAGCAAACUCUGCUCUGUUUCUUCUUCUCUAA
rnacentral:lncRNA from 1 species